rnacentral:rRNA from 1 species
GACAGAGGUGGCGAGCGUUGUUCGGAAUUACUGGGCGUAAAGGGCGCGUAGGCGGCCAACUAAGUCAGACGUGAAAUCCCUCGGCUCAACCUGGGAACUGCAUCCGAUACUGGAUGGCUUGAAUUCGGGAGAGGGAUGCAGAAUUCCAGGUGUAGCGGUGAAAUGCGUAGAUAUCUGGAGGAAUACCGGUGGCGAAGGCGGCAUCCUGGACCGACAUUGACGCUGAGGAGCGAAAGCCAGGGGAGCAAACGGG